rnacentral:rRNA from 1 species
UCUCAAAGAUUAAGCCAUGCAUGUCUCAGUGCAGGCCUUAAUACGGUGAAACCGCGAAUGGCUCAUUAAAUCAGCUAUGGUUUAUUGGAUCGUACCCGUUAAAUGGAUAACUGUAAUAACUCUAGAGCUAAUACAUGCCACGAAGCCUUGACCCCUCUGGGGAAUGGGUGCACUUAUUAGAUCAGAAGCCAACCAGUAUUGUGUCGUGGUCGCCUCGGUGGCUACGGCAUGUGCUGCAGAACUUCUGGUGACUCUGGAUAAUUGUUACAGAUCGCAGUCGGCCUUGAGUCGGCGACGGGUCCUUCAAAUGUCUGCCCUAUCAACUUUCGAUGGUAGGUGACCUGCCUACCAUGGUGAUAACGGGUAACGGGGAAUCAGGGUUCGAUUCCGGAGAGGGAGCCUGAGAAACGGCUACCACUUCCAAGGGAGGCAGCAGGCGCGCAAAUUACCCACUCCCAGCACGGGGAGGUGGUGACGAAAAAUACCGAUACGGGACUCCACAAUGAGGCUCCGUAAUCGGAAUGAGUGGAUUUUAAAUCCUUUCACGAGGAUCAAUUGGAGGGCAAGUCUGGUGCCAGCAGCCG